rnacentral:rRNA from 1 species
CCUACGGGAGGCAGCAGUGAGGAAUAUUGGUCAAUGGACGAGAGUCUGAACCAGCCAAGUAGCGUGAAGGAUGACUGCCCUAUGGGUUUUAAACUUCUUUUAUAUGGGAAUAAAACAGGUUAUGCAUACCCUCUUGUAUGUACCAUAUGCAUAAGGAUCGGCUAACUCCGUGCCAGCAGCCGCGGUAAUACGGAGGGUCCGGGCGUUAUCCGGAUUUAUUGGGUUUAAAGGGAGCGUAGGUGGAUUGUUAAGUUAGUUGUGAAAGUUUGCGGCUCAACCGUAAAUUGCAGUUGAAACUGGCAGGCUUGAGUACCGUAGAGGUGGGCAGAAUGCGUGGUGUAGCGGUGAAAUGCUUAGAGAUCACGAAGAACUCCGAUUGCGAAGGCAGCUCACUGGACUGCAACUGACACUGAUGCUCGAAAGUGUGGGUAUCAAACAGGAUUAGAUACCCCGGUAGUC